GAUCCUGGCUCAGAUUGAACGCUGGCGGCAUGCCUUACACAUGCAAGUCGAACGGCAGCACGGGUGCUUGCACCGUGGUGGCGAGUGGCGAACGGGUGAGUAAUAUAUCGGAACGUACCUUAUCGUGGGGGAUAACGCAGCGAAAGCUGCGCUAAUACCGCAUACGCCCUGGAGGGGAAAGCGGGGGACCGUAAGGCCUCGCGCGAUUGGAGCGGCCGAUAUCAGAUUAGGUAGUUGGUGGGGUAAAGGCUCACCAAGCCAACGAUCUGUAGCUGGUCUGAGAGGACGACCAGCCACACUGGGACUGAGACACGGCCCAGACUCCUACGGGAGGCAGCAGUGGGGAAUUUUGGACAAUGGGCGCAAGCCUGAUCCAGCAAUGCCGCGUGCAGGAAGAAGGCCUUCGGGUUGUAAACUGCUUUUGUACGGAACGAAACGGUCCUGGUUAAUACCUGGGGCUAAUGACGGUACCGUAAGAAUAAGCACCGGCUAACUACGUG
rnacentral:rRNA from 1 species